rnacentral:rRNA from 1 species
AGCAGUAGCCACGGUAAUACGUAGGUCCCGAGCGUUGUCCGGAUUUAUUGGGCGUAAAGCGAGCGCAGGCGGUUAGAUAAGUCUGAAGUUAAAGGCUGUGGCUUAACCAUAGUACGCUUUGGAAACCGUUUAACUUGAGUGCAGAAGGGGAGAGUGGAAUUCCAUGUGUAGCGGUGAAAUGCGUAGAUAUAUGGAGGGACACCGGUGGCGAAAGCGGCUCUCUGGUCUGUAACUGACGCUGAGGCUCGAAAGCGUGGGGAGCAAACAGGAUUAGAUACCCCUGUAGUCCCUGUCUCUUAUACA